AAACUGAAGCUACAGAAUUUACAGAAAAAAAUAUUUAUUAUAUUAGACACUGUACUCUGUUUCUCCGCUACCAUGAAGACUCUUCUCGGAUUCCUCUGCCUCUCUAUGCUCCUGGCUACAGCUUUCUCCGUUGAGUGUGAGAAGUGCCCUCUUGCUGAAACCUGUACUCCCACUAAAGAAAACUGCCCUAAACUGGACGGUUGUUUCACUUUGCAGUUGGAAAGCCAAUCUAAACAACUCAUCACAAAGGACUGCAUGCCAAAGAACGAAUGUGAAGAGUUGAAAGGAAAUGUGGGGAAGGUGAUACCAAAGAAAUACGGGAACUAUCCCGAUGGAGCCAUUGUUCGAAAAGUAGAGUGCAGCAAAGCCUACGGCUCGCCUGCCUCUCUCUUGCUGACGCUGGCUGGGCUUCUGCUGAUGAAGCUACUCUUCUAACUCAUCACUUCCAAGCGAGUCCAGGUGGAACAAGGACUCUCUAUUUUCUGCAUGUGCGUGCACACUUCUUCUCUGAAGCUUUUCGAUGCCAUUGCUCUUCCUCCCGUGGUUUGCUGAAUGGAUCUGAAUUAAAUCUAGAUGGGAUAACUUCUGGAAUUUAGGCAUUGUUGCUCUUGAGAUGGGGGUUCUGAUGGCCUGGGAGGAAGGACUGUUCAUUGCUGGGUAUCUACUGGAGGCAAAAGCCAAAAUCUGUGUCAAAUCAUAUGCUGGCCCAUGUGACCCUUAGGGAAAAUAUAGGAUGGUGCCACAAUGCCUAGAUAAACACAACUGAUUUGAUAAUAACUAUGGAUCUCCUGUUUUGGGUCCUGGAUUGAGGUUCUAUGAAAUACGUUCUAUCUUUCUCUUAGGCCUUUUGGUAGCACAGGGAUCUGGAACGUUUGGUGGUUUGUUUCUUUUCUGAAGUUUUGUUUCAUACCCGAAAGCUGUGGAAACCAUUAUGCUGCAAUGAUUGCCACAAACGGUUAUCUCUCCUUUGUAACGAAGAUCAAGAUCCAUAUCAUGUCCUUCUUCGGGCUGACCGCUUCCUGCUUAGUGGAGUUGAUACCCUUGAGAUGUGUUGUUAAAAACUUUCACAGUUCAGUUAUGUGGAAGACAAGAUGCCAUCAUGCUCUUAUGUGUUUGCUAUUCCUCUGGAAAUGGUGAUAAAUAAAUAUGUCGUUCUCAAGAACCA
rnacentral:lncRNA from 1 species